rnacentral:rRNA from 1 species
UACAGAGGGUGCAAGCGUUAAUCGGAAUUACUGGGCGUAAAGGGCGCGUAGGCGGCCUUCUAAGUCGAACGUGAAAUCCCCGGGCUCAACCCGGGAACUGCGUCCGAUACUGGAAGGCUUGAAUCCGGGAGAGGGAUGCGGAAUUCCAGGUGUAGCGGUGAAAUGCGUAGAUAUCUGGAGGAACACCGGUGGCGAAGGCGGCAUCCUGGACCGACACUGACGCUGAGGAGCGAAAGCCAGGGGAGCAAACGGG